rnacentral:lncRNA from 1 species
UUUAGCAAACAAAAUAAAAAAUGACAUAAGGCCCAACUUAAGUAAACAAAAGAAAUAUAGUAUAAAAAAAUAAGGAAUUGUUGGUUGUGAUUAAUUAUGGAAAAAGAAAACUAGGCCUAGAUAGGAGGUCAUUAGUGCUAGUCACACAGUGCAUUGAGGCGCACUUUACAUGCAUCAGAAAAAAAAAAUGAAUGGUUGUGAUUAAUUAUGGGUUUCUUCAAAAACAACAAUAACAUACAUCCUUAUUUUGACCAUAAUUUGCUCAAAUUUUUAUUAAAUUAAGCAAAU